rnacentral:rRNA from 1 species
UGGGGAAUAUUGCGCAAUGGGGGAAACCCUGACGCAGCGACGCCGCGUGCGGGAUGAAGGCCUUCGGGUUGUAAACCGCUUUUGAUUGGGAGCAAGCUUUCGGGUGAGUGUACCUUUCGAAUAAGCGCCGGCUAACUACGUGCCAGCAGCCGCGGUAAUACGUAGGGGGCAAGCGUUAUCCGGAUUCAUUGGGCGUAAAGCGCGCGUAGGCGGUUUGUUAGGUCAGGAGUUAAAUCUGGGGGCUCAACCCCUAUCCGCUCCUGAUACCGGCAGGCUUGAGUCUGGUAGGGGAAGGCGGAAUUCCAAGUGUAGCGGUGAAAUGCGCAGAUAUUUGGAAGAACACCGGUGGCGAAGGCGGCCUUCUGGGCCACGACUGACGCUGAGGCGCGAAAGCUAGGGGAGCGAACAGG